rnacentral:lncRNA from 1 species
CUCCUGUCUCCUAUGAAAAACCCUAAUGGCACAGAUAUGUCACCUCAUGGAUUUAGCCAUCAUACAGCAAAUGAAGAGGCAGUGCUGUUUUUUGGCUCUCAGCAAAACUCCAUCUUCUUUUCCUCUUUUUGUUUUCACUGAUUUUUCUGACAUCAACCACUCCCAUCCUGUCUGUCUAUGCUACUUAAUCUCAGGUCUGUGCGCCUAACCCAUCCCUUGCCCCAGGCUUCUGUACCUGUGGAUCAGACUCCCUGCCAAGCUCCCUCACCAUUGGGUUCUACCUAGGCCCUGAAUUCAGCAUGGCCAGGACUGACCUAUUCAGCUUUCACUAAAAAUCUUUCAUCUAUGUUUCUUACCUCCAGCUAGAACCCACCAGCUCUCCACUGUGAAAGUCAGAUGUCCUACCCUGAGUUUCUUGAAGGAUCUGUCAAGCUCUCUUUUGCCUCUAGGCGUUUCUACAAAUAUGCUGUUCCCUGAAAUGCUCUCUGAGAAAAGUCAGACACGUCAUUUAUUUCAGGGCUCUGGAAAGUUUCUCUAAUAGGAAUCUUCUCUGAAGUCUUCUAUAGCCUCCUGUGCUUGUCCAUAUUACAGAAGAUCUCAAACCUCAUAGCAACACUCAUUCACGUGCUUCUGUCCCUACUGACUUCAGGGCUGUACUCGCCAAUGUCUCCAGGAGCUUAGCACUGACGACGAUGUUUUGAAUCAAUACGGUUAUUGUAAACAUUGGAGAAGUCAUCCCAAGUUUCGCUUUAGCCUGUGAUAACCACCUGGCUCGGGCGAAUGCCCACAAAGACGGCGGUCCCAUUGGUUCUUCUCACAAUGCACCCACUCCGUGUAGAUGACAUUUAUUUAUGUACAUCUGGACCACCUUGCUGAUUUGCUGACCUUUGUAGUGUCUUCCAACCACCUGGACCUCUUUAUCCUUGAGGAUGGGCAUGGAGUGGACACUGUGCUUCUGCUUCAGCUCCUUGCUGGGAUAUCAUGCUGGGAGAGCAGGGACGGCAAGAUGUUCCUGUGCACAUGUGAGGGGCCAGUGAAGUGACAUUUGCAGUUUUGGCUGUGGUCUAAGGUGAUGAAGGGAUUGAACUUUAUGCUCACCAUCUGGCUUCGGCCGGCCUAGUGGUGUCUGUCUUUUAUUUAAGAAAGUUUUUGGCUAUUAUUACUUUGAAUAUUUCUUUUGCACUGUUCUCCAUUCCCUCUUCAACUUUUCCUGUUAAUCAUAUGUUUUGUUAUGCCUUUUAAGAUUGCUCCACUUUUAUGUGCUAUUCUGUUCUUUUUUAAAGUUUUUUUUUCUAUUUUCCUUUCAAUGUGGGAAAUUUCUAUUGAUAUAUUUUCAAGCUCACUGAUUUCUCCUCAGAUAUGUGAAGUCUACUGAUGAGCCCAUCAAAGACAGUGUUUAUUUCUGCUAUGGUAUUUUCAGUUUCUAGCAUUUUGUUUUGUUUCCUUAUUCACAUUUCCAUCUGUCUGCUUACAUUACUGUUGCAUGUCACCCACUUUUUCUAGUAGAACCCUUAACAGGUUGAGCACGGUAAUUGUAAAUUCCAAGCCAGAUAAUCCCCAAAUCUCUGCCAUAUCUGAGUUUGGUUUUGAUAUUUUCUGUUUGUCUCGUUACACUGUUUUUUGAGGAUACCUUGCAUUUCUUUGUUGAACACUGGAGGACAUUUAGAUAGUGAAAAGAGCUGAGGUAAAUAGACAUGUAACAGAUGGUCUUACAUUUAUCUGAGUGGUAAUUAGAUUGUUUUAUUGUUUGGUAUAAUUGUAGGUGGCAGAGACUAAAAUUUCUUUUAGCAUCUUUUACCCCUCAUUUUUGUGUGUGGGUUUCCCUAGAUAUUCCUCCUUGGGAAGUGUCUAAGUCUUGCAGUUCUUUAAGUUGUAUUCUUCUGCCAUUACACAGGAGCUCUGUUAAAGUGGUGGUAAUGUGGGUGGGUGGGUAGAAGGGAACAUCGUAUAAUCCUGUGUUAGAUCUCACUAUUUCAGUGAGAUGUGUUCCAGGGCUGUGACCUCACAAGCACUCUCAGCUUCUACUCCCCAAUGUCAACCUCCAGUCUUCCCUGAGAAGAGGCAAACAGGCUAGUUGAGGCUGGAGUUGGACAUUUUUCUUCUCCAUGUUGAAAGCAAAUUGGGCUGGCAUUGGAUAGUUUUUUGUUUUUUUUUUUCUCGAGGUCAGGCACGUUCUGAUAAAAUAUUAAUUUAAAAUAGUAUUUCAAAAUGGUUAGUUUUCCUGCCACCCUGCCAGAAGCAGGAAGGAAUUUUUCUGCAGCCUUCACCCUAAGUCUCUAGUGGAAUCCCUGAAGGUAAAACUCAGUAAGUUGUGGGUGCCUCUCCCUCCAAAGCCUGAGCCCCGGGAGUUUGAAUCUCAGCUAGUUAACAGCUCAGCCUCCAUCACUUAGUCAAUUACAGUUUAAAUGUUUCUAGCAGUUGCUGGCUCUAACUGUGUCUUCUCCUUCCAGUUAAUUUUGAUUCUCUAUGUUCACCUGUCUCCCACCCCGUGGUUUUCAGGGAGGUAGUUUGUCCUGUGACCCCGAUUCUCUGAUGGGUCUAAGAAGAGUUGUUCAUUUUCAGUUAGUUUGGCUUUUUUCCUGUUGUGAGAAUGGGGGAUGAUGACUUUCAUGGUUUUACAACUUAGAAUGGAAACUGUAAGCCUGUUAAUGUACUUUGAUGUAAAAUUUUAAGUUAAACUGUGAUGAUUUUUUCAGAAAAUGAUAUGUCAUCCAUAUGUACUCUUUGGUGAAGUGUCUGUUAAAACCAUUUGCCCUCUUUUAGUGGGCGGUUUUUUUUCUUAGUAUUGAAUUUUCAUGAUUUUUUAUAUUCUAAUUAAGCCUUUUAUUACAUACAAUAUUAGCAAAUCCCAUUUCCCAUCCCGAGGCUUUUCCUUUCACUCUCUUAACAGUUUUGUCGAAAGAGCAGAAUUCUUACUUUUGGUGUCAUAUAUAAGAAAUAGUUGCCUGAAAAGGUCAAAACAAUAUUCUCCUGUGUUUUAUUAUGGAAGAAUUAUGGUUUUAUGGUUUGCAGUUAAACUUAUGAUUCCUUUAAGUUAUAAUUUUUAUAGAGUACAAAGAACUGAAGUUAAUAUUUUUGUGUAUGGAUAUCCAGCAUCAUUUGUAGAAAAGGCCUUCUUUUCUCUAAUAGAUUGCCUUUCUAUCUUUAUCAAAAACCAGUUGUCCAUGUAUCUUUUGGUCUAUUUCUGGACUUUCUCUUCUGUUCCAUUGGUUUAUUUUGUUUAUGUUUACACGAAUACAACACUGACUUGAUUAACUUAUCCUUAUAACAGAUCUCAAAAUCACGUUAUGUUCAGUUCGCGUACUUU